UACAGAGGUCCCAAGCGUUGUUCGGAUUCACUGGGCGUAAAGGGUGCGUAGGUGGUGAGGUAAGUCGGAUGUGAAAUCUCCGAGCUCAACUCGGAAACUGCAUUGGAAACUACCUUGCUCGAGGGUUGGAGGGGGGACUGGAAUGCUUGGUGUAGCAGUGAAAUGCGUAGAUAUCAAGCGGAACACCAGUGGCGAAGGCGAGUCCCUGGACAACUCCUGACACUGAGGCGCGAAAGCUGGGGGAGCAAACAGG
rnacentral:rRNA from 1 species